CCUACGGGUGGCAGCAGUGAGGAAUAUUGGUCAAUGGACGAGAGUCUGAACCAGCCAAGUAGCGUGAAGGAUGACUGCCCUAUGGGUUGUAAACUUCUUUUAUAAAGGAAUAAAACGAGGCUCGUGUGCCUUUUUGCAUGUACUUUAUGAUUAAGGAUCGGCUAACUCCGUGCCAUCAGCCGCGGUAAUACGGAGGAUCCGAGCGUUAUCUGGAUUGAUUGGGUUUAAAGGGAGCGUAGAUGGGUUGUUAAGUCAGUUGUGAAAGUUUGCGGCUCAACCGUAGAAUUGCAAUUGAUACUGGCAGUCUUGAGUACAGUAGAGGUAGGCGGAAUUCGUGGUGUAGCGGUGAAAUGCGUAGAUAUCACGAAGAACCCCGAUUGCGAAGGCAGCUUACUAAGCUGUGACUGACGUUGAUGCUCGAAAGUGUGGGUAUCAAACAGGAUUAGAUACCCGGGUAGUC
rnacentral:rRNA from 1 species